rnacentral:rRNA from 1 species
UACGGGGGGAGCAAGCGUUGUUCGGAUUUACUGGGCGUAAAGGGCGCGUAGGCGGCCACCGCAAGUCAGUUGUGAAAUCUCUGGGCUUAACCCAGAAAGGUCAACUGAUACUGCGGGGCUAGAGUGCAGAAGGGGCAACUGGAAUUCUCGGUGUAGCGGUGAAAUGCGUAGAUAUCAAGAGGAACACCUGCGGCGAAGGCGGGUUGCUGGGCCGACACUGACGCUGAGGCGCGAAAGCGUGGGGAGCAAACAGG